ensembl:lncRNA
UCAUGUUGCUGUGUGUUUCUCGGUGUGCCUUGGUUUCCUUGUGUUUUCUCAUCUCUUCUACAUCGCUGAAGAAGUGGAUGGAUUUUUUUCACAUCACUACGGUGGAAUCUCUCCACCUCCACGUCGCUGCAGCAUCAGCAGCUGAACUCUCCGAGUCCUGUUUGCCUGUUGGCUGAAAAGCUGCAGCCAGGGUUCAAAGAAAGCAGUCAUCUGGAAUAUGUGACUGACUGACAUCCACAAGAGGAUGAUGAUGGACAAAGAGGAGAACAGAGCAGAGUCCGGUGAACCUAGACCAACGAGCCUUUCCUUGGACCAUUUUCAUUUUUG